rnacentral:piRNA from 10 species
UGGAAGACUAGUGAUUUUGUUGUC